GCCAAUAAUCAUCAUGGCGUCGUCAUCGUCCCAAAAUAACAAUCAAACAUUGAAAAGCAUCAUACAGAAGGAAUGGAAAAAUGAGAAGAAUUGGUUUUCAUUCAGUGGAGCCAGAGCAACUUACGAGGGACUCAAACAGCAACUGCAAAUGAAGAUAACAUACGAAGAUGUCAUUAAUGCUUUGAGAUCUGAGCCAAAUUAUCUCAUGCAUGUUCAGGUACGUGAUAUUGAGCGUCAAUCACUUUUAAGCAAAUCUAUAGAACACUCUUUUAUUGAUAGGCACGGCGGCGUUGGCCUACGAGGUCCAUGUUGGUCCAUGGAUCACUCGGUUUUUCAGGAAAGUCAAUGGCUAUCUAUAAAAGCAAUUGUCAACAUAUUUUGUUCGUAUGAAGACUUUUGAACAAACCGGUUUUCAUUUUCAACAUUAGGCAGAUGUUGGGUUUAUGCCUGAAUACAACGGUUACACUUUGUUCCUUUCCGGUGAGGAUAUACAUGGAUAAAGAUGCCAGUGACUUGACUCUCCGACUUUUGUUCUAGUUGUGGACGUUUUUUCCAAAAUGAUUGCUGCUAGGUCCAUUAUCCGAAAAGAUUUGUCAACUAUAAAAAGAGCGUUUUUGUCCAUUUUCAAACAGUUGGGUCAACCAGAUCAACUUCACCUUGAUCAAGGCAGUGAAUUUUCCUUAAAAACUUGGCUUAAUGACCGAGGCAUUUAUCUCAGUGUGAAAACGGCGCCUUUAAAAGUAUGUGUCACGAUCCUGAAGCAUCGCUUUAAGGUACUCACAAUCGUUUUCUUAUUAUAGUGUUCUUUUGCCGAGCAUAGUAUCCAUCUCAUCAAAUUGAAAUUAACAAUUUUGCUACGGACCAAACUGUCUCAAAACUGGCCAAAAUACUUGCCAGAUGUGGUACAAGCCUUAAACGAGCGUCCAAUUAAAAAAGUAAUGGGCUGAGACCAAUAGAUAUUGCCACCCGAGAGACGGGAGUCAAAGUUGACGAAACCGUGGGAAUUGAAACGCCUAAAUUUUCCAUCGAAGUGCAAGAUCAAAGGCAGAACGCUUACAAAUCCAAUCCGAAUAAGCUUCAGGAGGGGAUGUGGGUCUUUGCUAUUAGGGAUCCAGUUUCAUUUCCCAAAGCAACCGAUCUUCAAAGAAACGAACUCUUUCAAAUAGCCAGAGUGCAAGCACAGGACGAACCAGUGCUCUAUUAUCUGAUUGAUUCGAAUAAGCAACAAGUGAGGGGCGCAUUUUAUAAAGAACAGCUCAUCAAAGCCAACAAACCGAAAGAUGAUACUUUUUUACGCCGUCGAAGAAAUCAUCAGAAGAACCAGCAGCAAGACUCUGGUGAAGGUAAUCGAUCAACUCGAGCAUAAUGGGUUGCUUUCAUAUCAUAACUCGAAAUUCUAGUUUCAAGGGUACAGAUAGAAUGUUUGGAUCCCCAAUGAAGAUUUUGAAACUGGACCAGAUGACCUGAACUUACCAACUCAAGGCUGACUCUCGAACAAGAAGCUUGUGAACAAGGACGGAGGAUUCUGUUUGUUUGCACAACUCGGACACAUGGCUUGUUUUUUAAGAUUUCACAAAAUUGGGGAUUCGACGAUAAGCACACCUGUUUUGGAACCCCGAUCUGCACAACUUUACACUUGUAUGAUCCGUGAUUUGUCUCGAAUGAAUCAGCCACCAUUACUUCUAGAAGAAAUAUUUUUGAAAAUGCAAUGGUCAGAAGGAAACGGACAACCAUGAUACUCGAACUUUGAAAUCAAAGUGAGAAAUAAACGGCCAAAUUCAACCGAUUUCAACGAAACUUCUGGUGCUCAACAAAAAUUAACCCUUAUCGCUCUGAUAGAUUAGUUAAAACUCGAAACUUCUCACCCAGUAGCUUGUUACUCUCCCCUAGUUGAGGCAUUACAUGGCAAUGUGGAGAGUUACGCGUCUGAUUGAUUCAAGAUAUACUAUCCAUUCUUU